rnacentral:sRNA from 1 species
AUAUAAAUAUGUUGAAUAAAACCUAUAAAAUUAUACCGUAGUAUACAUCCUUAAAAUAUAA